AUAUGGAGAAUGAUAAGAGAGAAUUAAUUCAAGAAGUUCACCGGUUAGCUAGAUUGGGUAUGAGGUUGGUUGACACAGUUGAAGGGAAUACUUGGGUUCAGAGUAGUUCAAAAUCUUCUCUAGUUUCUGAAGUGAAAGAGAAGAAGGAUAAGGAUUCCAGUUUGGCCAAACUGAAGGGUUAAAUUAAAGACCUAAAGGUAUAGGUUUUAUACCUAGGGGGAGAUGGUGUGUUGAUAUACCAGAAUAGAUUAUGUUGCCAUGUGUUGACGAUUUGA
rnacentral:lncRNA from 1 species